AACGUAGGAGGCGAGCGUUAUCCGGAUUUACUGGGCGUAAAGCGCACGCAGGCGGCUCGGCAAGUUGGGCGUAAAAGCUCCUGGCUUAACUGGGAGAGGUCGUUCGAAACUACCGGGCUUGAGGUUGGGAGAGGGGUGUGGAAUUCCCGGUGUAGUGGUGGAAUGCGUAGAUAUCGGGAGGAACACCAGUGGCGAAGGCGGCACCCUGGCCCACACCUGACGCUGAGGUGCGAAAGCGUGGGGAGUAAAC
rnacentral:rRNA from 1 species